rnacentral:lncRNA from 1 species
UGGGUGCGUAUACUCGUAUGCUCCCACAUAGGAAAAGAUGCAUUAUUGUAAUCGAGUUUUUUUAUAGAUUUCGAAAUUUUUUACUACAAUAUGCAUCGCUCCAUUUUAAGACACUUGCACUUAAACGCAAAAAUCUCAGAACACGCUUAGAAAAUCUACAAACGUUAAGACUCUUAUCGGCAGCCUCAUACGGCCCAAAAUCGCGAAACAAUCUCGCUUCAGGACCGAAAAUAUACGUAUAGUCUUAGAAAUAACUGCGAGACGUCGCCAAGUUAAAAGUCAAGACGAUACGAACAAAUUGUCCGAACGCGACCACAAAAAAUCUUACACUCCGUUCGUUGAUUGGCCCCGAAGAACACAUCAGCCGUCUUAAACAAACGCAACUUGAUUACUCUUUUGAUCUUUGAACGUCCAACACAAGGACGAAAGCGCGCUACAAAAAAAUCUGAAAUUUUGGUCUAGCACUUCCAGUUGGCUUAAAUUUGUCUCUGGAAAGAUGCUCGAUUCGUACCAUACAAGUCGUAUAAGCCGAGAACCUAUCGCGGACUUUAAAUCGGUACGAAUCAGGUAGAAAUUGCAACAGGAAAACCGAUAGCCGGCUAGUCACCGCAC